rnacentral:rRNA from 1 species
GACGAACGCUGGCGGCGUGCUUAACACAUGCAAGUCGAACGAUGAAGCCGGAGCUUGCUCUGGUGAAUUAGUGGCGAACGGGUGAGUAACACGUGAGUAACCUGCCCUUGACUCUGGGAUAACUGCGGGAAACUGUAGCUAAUACCGGAUACGACCCUCGGAGGCAUCUCCUGGGGGUGGAAAGAAUUUCGGUCAAGGAUGGACUCGCGGCCUAUCAGCUAGUUGGUGAGGUAAAGGCACACCAAGGCGACGACGGGUAGCCGGCCUGAGAGGGUAACCGGCCACACUGGGACUGAGACACGGCCCAGAGUCGUACGGGAGGCAGCAGUGGGGAAUAUUGCACAAUGGGCGCGGGCCUGAUGCAGCAACGCCGGGUGAGAGAUGACGGCCUACGGGUUGUAAACCUCUUUUAGUAGGGAAGAAGCGAAAGUGACGGUACCUGCGGAAAAAGCACCGGCUAACUACUUGCCAGCAGCCGCCGUAA